rnacentral:rRNA from 1 species
UUUCAAAGCUCCACGGUUUCCGUGGCGCGUUGUAGACUAAAAGGGCGCUAUCUUGCAUGGCCCGGGUAUAGAUCCGUUGGAACGCGGUAUCAUAGAGGGUGAGAAUCCCGUCUGUGACUCGGGAAUUAUACCAUGCAUAUACGUUGCGCUUCUAACGAGUCGGGUUGUUUGGGAAUGCAGCCCAAAACGGGUGGUAAACUUCAUCUAAGGCUAAAUAUGGGCACGAGACCGAUAGCGAACAAGUACCAUGAGGGAAAGAUGAAAAGCACUUUGAAAAGAGAGUCAAAAAGUACGUGAAACCGUUAAGAGGGAAACGAAUGGGGCCAGCAUUUGUAUCUUGGCCACAAUCAGUCAGACGUCCCGAAGUCGUGCGGCGGUAUUAUUCUUUUUGGGGAGCACCUCGAGUAUGCCCGUCAAAAGGCAAAGGCGAGGAGCCCCACGCCGUGCGCUGCUUAGGGUUCGGCUGGUGCACUUGUGACCGGUAUCAGGCCAACAUCGGUUCGGCAGCCCACACAUUUUGGACAGGAACCCUUGGGGGAAGGUGGUUGAGGUUAUAGCCCCUCGGGGCGCCGCAACGUUAUAACCCCCAUAGGAGAACAAAAGAGUCGCGGCCCGGACCGAGGAGAUAAAGCAGCACGCCACUUUGUAGAGUUUCCGCUGGGACGCCGGGCUCUCCGGAACCUGCGCCAAAAACGCAGUGCCGGGAGUCUUGUUUUUGUGUGUUCCACACUAAGCCACGGGAAUCUACACAUUAAACGUGCUUGUGAUGUUGGCGAAAUGGCUUCAUCCGACCCGUCUUGAAACACGGACCAAGGAGUCUAACAUAUACGCGAGUCUUUGGGUGGCAAGCCCGCAGGCGUAAUGAAAGUGAAGGCGUACAUGGUGCGCAAACAAAUUACAUGAGGUGAGACGUUUUUGGUCCCUCGGGGCCCGAAACCGCAUCAUCGACCGAUCUGGAUGGGUUUACUCUGAAAGAUUUGAGUAAGAGCGUAUCUGUUGGGACCCGAAAGAUGGUGAACUAUGCCUGAACAGGGUGAAGUCUGAGGAAACUCAGAUGGAAGCUCGUAGCGAUUCUGACGUGCAAAUCGAUCGUCUGAUUUGGGUAUAGGGGCGAAAGACUAAUCGAACCAUCUAGUAGCUGGUUCCCUCCGAAGUUUCCCUCAGGAUAGCUGGAACUUAACGCAGUUUUAUCAGGUAAAGCGAAUGAUUAGAGGCCUUGGGGUUGAAAUAACCUCAACCUAUUCUCAAACUUUAAAUAGGUAAGAAGCCUGGCUUGCUUAACUGAAGCCAGGCUCUCGCGAAUGCAGAGUUCCAAGUGGGCCAUUUUUGGUAAGCAGAACUGGCGAUGCGGGAUGAACCGAACGCGAAGUUAAAGUGCCAAAGUUCACGCUCACCUAGAACCCAGAAAAGGUGUUGGCUGAUGAAGACAGCAGGACGGUGGCCAUGGAAGUCGGAACCCGCUAAGGAGUGUGUAACAACUCACCUGCCGAAUCAGCCAGCCCUGAAAAUGGAUGGCGCUCAAGCGUGACACUUAUACUUCGCCGUUGCCGCAAAAAGAACAUGAACAUUCCUUAUGCCGCAACGAGUAGGAGGGCGUGGAGGUGGUGAAGCAGCUUAGGGCGUAAGCCUGAGUGAAACUGCC